UAAAAAUAACAUUAGCUGGUCAUGCUGGCACCUGCUAUAGUCCAGCUACUUGAGAAGCUGAGGCAGAAGGAUUGCUUGAGCCCAGGAGUUGGAGGCUGCAGUAAGCUAUGAUCAUACCACUGCAUUCCAGCCUAGGUGAGAGAGUAAGACCUCAUCUCUAAAAAAUAAUAAUAAUAAUCUGUGACAGAUGUUAUGUGUGUUCACCACAUUUUCAGUUCUCCCCUUCCAGGCUCCUGGAAGACUGCACUUCUCAGCCCCAUUGAUGUUUUGCAGGUCUGCAGAAUCAGUUAUGUCCAAUCAAAUAGAAAAGAAAGAGAAGCUUCCAAGCCACAUGGAAGAACCCUCCCCAUAGCUGUUCCAGCCAAGUGGACUCUUAGUAAGCGUCCUAACAUACUCUGCUCUUCCUUAAUUUUUUUUUCUUCCUACAUGACAGACAGACCACCUAUCUGAAUGUCAAUUUUCAUUGUAUUACACCUAGGAUGUUUUGACUCAUCGUUCAAGUCCCAGCUGCAAUGUUAUCUCAUUUCCAGAGUCUUUUUGGCUGUCCCUGUUAGGGCGCAUCACUCCUCCCUCUAUACUCGCAGAAAACUCUGUCCUGGCUUCCCAAAGCACCCUCACAAUGCUUUGUAACUUCGCAUGUCGCGGGCAAGCAUCUCGCAGUCCUUUAACCCGGGAGUCUCUCCAGAGCACAUUGGGGUCGGCUCCAGGCAGCUGCUCUGGGUCUCUGGAGGUCUUCCACACAGCCAGGCACUGGCCAGGGAAGGACUUUUGGGGAUGGAUGCCAUCGGCAUCCUCCCUGCUUGCCCAUGGGCCCUGUGUGUCUGUGACAACAGGGGCAGGGCCAGCCUGGGGACCUGGCUGCUCCGGUCACCUUGGAGAUGCAGGCAGCCCACUGGGUGGAUGAAGCACACUCCUGGGGUCUGAGGGCAGCUGCACAGGCACUGCUGGAGUCACAAACUCCUGGGGAUUUGGGGGGGCAGGGGGCCACCAUCCCCUCUGCCACUGACCCAGCCCCCUGGCUUCCCAGCCAGUCCCUGCUGGGCCCUCCUGCCCUGCAUCCAGCCCCAAGGGUACGGCACAAGCACCAGCCUCGGUGUCCGCUGCACCCCUCCCCACUCUCGGGUCUCUAGGAUGUUCCAGGCUCCACACAGGGACCACUGUUCCAGCAAGGC
rnacentral:lncRNA from 10 species